rnacentral:lncRNA from 1 species
AAUUUUGUCAUUCCUCCCUUGAUUCUUCUCUUUAGAUUUUCUCCUUAAUUCGAUGGUCAUUGAUAGCAUAUUCUCAAAUGUAGGAAGAUUUGAGCCUCCUUGCGAUAUAUUUGACUGCAAGAAAAAUCGAGUAGAGACUUUUACAAAGGCAUUAUUUUGUGUCUUGAUCUCUUAUGAAUAUCCCAAAGUUUAUGGGAUUUCAGAGAUUUUUGACCUCUUUAUGAACAUUUCAUGAGUUUCUGAAAUUUUUGAGAUGGAAUAUAUUACCCUUUAAAUAAACAUUAUUUAGGAUUUUGAAUUAAGUAGCCUCCAAGUUAGUUUUAGGAUAAAGUAGCCCCCAAAAACUCUACGAGAAAUUGAAUUCAUCUUGUAAAAUUCACAAAAUUUCAAUGUCUACACCUGUUAAUCUGCAUUCUAACCACGAGAUUACAUCCUGCUUAUCCACCCCCGCCUAAUGAUCCACUUAAGGGUGCAUAUAGAAUAUCAAAUUAAAAAAUAUUCAAUUGGUACUCGAUUUUGGUAACUUCAGACAAGAUGUCUUCUUUUUGUAGUUGGUACACAUUAUUUGAACAUAAAUGGGUGUUAGAAUUAAGAAAAACUUGAAAAAAAAUAAUAAUAAGACACUAUAUUUCUAAAAUGAGUUUGUUAGAUUGGUUGAUGAUUGAGAUAGUUAUUAUGAUAUAUGAAAUUUAUAUUUUAAAUUUGAGCUCAUUCGAGGAAGAAUUAGAAAUUGAAUCAAGUGUUUGGUUGUUAAAAUUUGAAGAACAAGUGGUUGAUUUUGGGUACCUGUGAUAAGGUUGUUUUGAUGAAUGAUCCUUGAGGUUGAUUGCAGGAAUUUAGUAACAAGAAUAUUCACAGGAUUCCUUUUCAAACACUCAAAAAGGAAAAGCAUCUCAUACGAAGGAAAGAAAAAUUGUUGCGGUGCACAAAUCAUGGGAUGAGCAUCUCACAAGAAGGAAAGAAA